AGACAGAGGGGGCAAGCGUUGUCCGGAGUUACUGGGCGUAAAGGGCGCGCAGGCGGUGGGCUGCGUCGGCGCUGAAAGCGCCCCGCUUAACGGGGCGAGGCGCGCCGAUACGAGUCCACUCGAGGCAAGCAGAGGGUGGCGGAAUUCCGGGUGGAGCGGUGAAAUGCGUAGAGAUCCGGAGGAACGCCGGUGGGGAAGCCGGCCACCUGGGCUUGACCUGACGCUGCGGCGCGACAGCGUGGGGAGCAAACCGGAUUAGAUACCCGGGUAGUCCACGCCGUAAACGAUGCCGGCUCGGCGUCUGGCGCACGUUGGUGUGCUGGGUGCCUUAGCUCACGCGGUAAGCCGGCCGCCUGGGGACUACGAGCGCAAGCUUAAA
rnacentral:rRNA from 1 species